AUACUAGAUUGCUAACUUCGAUCUUUGACCUAUACAAGAGCUGUGUCCCGCCUAUUUUCCGGUUCGGCCAUGAAGACCGCCAAAACAUGGCGGCAGUGUGUGUUUGUAGUGCGUACGUGAAUAUCCGAUGCGUGUGUAGUAGUGCUGUACUGUAAGUAUGUGAUACCUGAUGUGUCUACACUGAUGUGUCGUAUCUAUUGCUAUUUAUAUUAGUAAAACUGCAAAUAUAUAAACGAGAUAAUGCCAAGUACAUGUUGCAUUGUUAAUUGCAAUAAUACGAAUAAAAAAGGAUAUCACUUAUUUAAAUUUGCAGUUUUACUAACAUAAAUAGUAAUAGACACAUCAGGUGUCACAUACGCAUUACCACGCACUACUACAUACGCAUCGGGUAUUCACAUACACACUACAAACACACACCGCCGCCAUGCUUGGCGGUCUUCAUGGCCGAA